rnacentral:rRNA from 1 species
AUUGAACGCUGGCGGCAUGCCUAACACAUGCAAGUCGAACGGUAACAGGCAAAAGCUUGCUUUUGUGCUGACGAGUGGCGGACGGGUGAGUAACGCGUGGGAAUCUGCCCAGUAGCGGGGGACAACUCGGGGAAACUCGAGCUAAUACCGCAUACGCCCUUAGGGGGAAAGGCUUCGGCCACUACUGGAUGAGCCCGCGUCGGAUUAGCUUGUUGGUGAGGUAAUGGCUCACCAAGGCAACGAUCCGUAGCUGGUCUGAGAGGACGAUCAGCCACACUGGAACUGAGACACGGUCCAGACUCCUACGGGAGGCAGCAGUGGGGAAUAUUGCACAAUGGGCGAAAGCCUGAUGCAGCAAUGCCGCGUGUGUGAAGAAGGCCUGCGGGUUGUAA